AUAUGUUUCCUAUUAGAACACUCAAUUAUAAUUGAUGUUUAACAUUUUUGUUAAUUAUUGUAUCAUUUAAAUUGUAGUUAUUAUUGUAUCAUUUAAAGUUACCCUUUUAUUUUAGAUGCUUUCACAUCGUUCUGGUUUCUUAAGAUAUUCAUGCCACUUUUCUUUUUACUCCCAGACUUGAUAAAAAUCAGCAUAUCACUGAAUCCUGCUGUUUUAAAAUCUGAGGCUUCUCGCUGUCUGGGUGCUACAGGAAGAAAUAUUAUACAUCGGGUCUGAUUAGAUCCCUGUUUUAUGUCAUAGUGGAGCUAAUUUAAGUGGAAUGGAAGACAUCUGAGUCUCAAUGUUCUCUCGAUCACUUCAAGAAAUUCGAACACGGCAGUGAACUUGCAUUCUUUCUUCAAGCCUGACAUACUGCCAUUUCACACGGAAACGUAUUGCAGAAGAUGCCGAAGGAGACUUGAAUUGGCAUCCAUCUCUCCAACUUUCUGCCCAACCAUUAGCCCUUGAAAUGAAUAUGGCUACUUCACUGAAGACACUGAGCUUCUCACAUGUAGCAAGGAGCAUCACACCCCUGCCUCACUUUUGCAGGGUACCAGAACUUUCUUCAGUCAGGCAGCCACGCCAGGAUCUGUUCCUUUUGGUUCCACUGACUUCGAAUUGGGCCAGGGCCUCACUGCAACUGCAGCUAGUUUAUGUCUGAUUUCAAAUAUGAUUUAGGGGAUUUAACUUUGUCCUUCAGCUCAAUCCCCAACUUUCUUUACUACUAUUGCUACAACUGAGGGACAAAUAAAUCCCUUUGAUCCUCCCAGG
rnacentral:lncRNA from 1 species